rnacentral:tRNA from 1 species
GGUUGUGGCUUGGAGGUAGAGCGCUCGCCUACCAUGUGUGAGACACUGGGUUCGAUCCUCAGCACCA